rnacentral:tRNA from 25 species
CGAGGUGUAGCGCAGUUUGGUAGCGCACAUCGUUCGGGACGAUGGGGUCGCAAGUUCGAAUCUUGUCACCUCGACCA